UACGAAGGGGGCUAGCGUUGUUCGGAAUCACUGGGCGUAAAGCGCACGUAGGCGGCUUUCUAAGUCAGGGGUGAAAUCCUGGAGCUCAACUCCAGAACUGCCUUGAUACUGGAAAGCUUGAGUUCGGGAGAGGUGAGUGGAACUGCGAGUGUAGAGGUGAAAUUCGUAGAUAUUCGCAAGAACACCAGUGGCGAAGGCGGCUCACUGGCCCGAUACUGACGCUGAGGUGCGAAAGCGUGGGGAGCAAACAGG
rnacentral:rRNA from 1 species